GGGACCUAAGGCGAGGCCGAAAGGCGUAGUCGAUGGACAGCAGGUUAAUAUUCCUGCACUACCGUACAGUUUCAAUGGAGUGACGCAUUCUUGCACUUCUCGAGGUUCCUGGAAUGAACCUUCGGGCGCUCAGGGGUGCUGUGUAGGCAAAUCCGCACAGCAUUAGCCUCGGGGCGAUCGUGAGUCUGCCGCAAGGCGGGCAAGGAGAGGGAAUGGGGUGCCGAGAAAACCUUCUAGAGCUAACUGUAUGGUAUCCGUACCGCAAACCGACACAGGUGGGUGGGCGUUAGUGUGCCAAGGUGUACGAGAGAAUCCACGUUUAGGAACUCGGCAAAACAGCGGCCGUAACUUCGGGAUAAGGCCUCCCUGCUCCGAGAGGAGUAGGGCGCAGCGAAAGACAACAACCGACUGUUUACCAAAAACACAGCUCCCUGCUAAACCGCAAGGUGAUGUAUAGGGGGUGAUGCCUGGCCAGUGUCAGAACGUUAAGAGGAGAGGUGAAUCCUUCGGGAGGCAGCCUUGAAUCCAAGCGCUGAUGAACGCCGGCGAUAACUAUAAUCGUCCUAAGGUAGCGAAAUUCCUUGUCGGGUGAGUUCCGACCCGCACGAAUGGCAUAACGAGUUGUUGACUGUCUCAACGUGGAACUCGGCGAAAUUACAAGUGGGGUGAAGAUGCCCUGUACGCGUAGUCAGACGAAAAGACCCCGUGAAGCUUUACUACAACUUGAUAUUGGCUUUCGGCUUUCUCUGUUCAGCAUAGGUGGGAGUCCUCGGACAUCAGUGAGAUACCACCCUUAGGCUGUCGGAAGUCUUAUCUUGGGCCGUGAAUCCGGUCUAGGAGACAGUAUCUGGUGGGUAGUUUGACUGGGGCGGUCGCCUCCCAAAAGGUAACGGAGGCGUUCACAAAGGUUAGCUAGGUGCGGAUGGAAAUCGCACUGAUUCUGCAAAGGGAUAAGCUAGCUUAACUGCAAGACCUACAAGUCGAGCAGAUGCGAAAGCAGGACUUAGUGAUCCGACCGUACGAAAUCGGACGGCGGAAGCUCAACGGAUAAAAGCUACUCCGGGGAUAACAGGCUGAUCUCCCCUAAGCGUCCACAGCGACGGGGAGGUUUGGCACCUCGAUGUCGGCUCAUCGCAUCCUGGGGCUGGAGAAGGUCCCAAGGGUUAGGCUGUUCGCCUAUUAAAGCGGUACGCGAGCUGGGUUCAGAACGUCGUGAGACAGUUCGGUCUCCUGUCUACUACGCGCGUGGAAAUUUGAGGAGUCGCAUUCCUAGUACGAGAGGACCGGAAUGCACGAACCUCUCGUGUACCUGUUGUCCUACCAAGGGCAUCGCAGGGUAGCGACGUUCGGUUAGGAUAAACGCUGAAAGCAUCUAAGCGUGAAGCCGUCUCCAAGAUUAGAUUUCAUGAUGAGGACCCUUCGAGAUGAGGAGGUUGAUAGGCCGCCGGUGUAAGGUUAGUGAUAGCCUCAGCCAAGCGGUACUAAUUGUCCCAUGUCUCGGCCAU
rnacentral:rRNA from 1 species